rnacentral:rRNA from 1 species
UACGGGGGGGGCAAGCGUUGUUCGGAAUUACUGGGCGUAAAGGGCUCGUAGGCGGCCAACUAAGUCGGAUGUGAAAUCCCCAGGCUUAACUCCGAAACUGCAUUCGAUACUGCCGUGCUUGAGGACUGGAGAGGAGACUGGAAUUUACGGUGUAGCGGUGAAAUGCGUAGAUAUCGUAAGGAAGACCAGUGGCGAAGGCGGGUCUCUGGACAGUUCCUGACGCUGAGGCACGAAGGUCAGGGGAGCAAACGGG